rnacentral:rRNA from 1 species
AUGAGCCACGUCGCAUCGCGGCUCAGCUCCGCCACCGUCGGGGGCCCCGCCCCUGACCACGACCACCACCCCAUCCAUCCACCCAUCUUCCCCCAAGUUUCCUUUCGGGAAGUAGUAGCAGGGGAGCAGGAGCAGAAGGCGAUGGCGGACGUGCAGAUGGGCAGCGGCACGGAGACGGAGACCUUCGCGUUCCAGGCGGAGAUCAACCAGCUGCUCUUGCUCAUCAUCAACACCUUCUACUCCAACAAGGAGAUCUUCCUCCGCGAUCUCAUCUCCAACUCAUCAGAUGCGCUUGACAAGAUCUGGUUCGAGAGCCUCACGGACAAGAGUCAGUGGCAGACCAUGCGAACAACCUGGGCACCAUCGUGGGCUCGGGCACCAAGGAGUUCAUGGAGGCUCUGCAGGGCCGGGGCCGUGGCUGCGCCAGCAGGAGUGAAGCAAGCGCUGAUAUCUUUGUCGGAUACAACAGACUUGGCUAAUCUCGGAAACAACCUUCAGAGCUUGGGGUUCUCUAUCAUCUCCACUGGUGGUACAGCGUCAAGCUUGGAAGCAGCUGGAGUGAAUGUGAGAAAAGUUGAAUAG